AACGAACGCUGGCGGCAGGCCUAACACAUGCAAGUCGAGCGAGAAGCAUCCUUCGGGAUGUGGGAAGCGGCGGACGGGUGAGUAAUGCGUGGGAAUAUGCCCUUUGGUACGGAAUAGCCCUUGGAAACGAGGAGUAAUACCGUAUGUGCCCUACGGGGGAAAGAUUUAUCGCCAAAGGAUUAGCCCACGUUGGAUUAGCUAGUUGGUGAGGUAAGAGCUCACCAAGGCGACGAUCUAUAGCUGGUUUGAGAGGAUGAUCAGCCACACUGGGACUGAGACACGGCCCAGACUCCUACGGAAGGCAGCAGUGGGGAAUAUUAGACAAUGGGCGCAAGCCUGAUCUAGCCAUGCCGCGUGAGUGAAGAAGGCCCUAGGGUUGUAAAGAUCUUUCAGAUGUGAGGAUGAUGACAGUAGCAUCAGAAGAAGCCCCGGCUAACUUCG
rnacentral:rRNA from 1 species